rnacentral:rRNA from 1 species
GACGAACGCUGGCGGCGUGCUUAACACAUGCAAGUCGAACGAAGUGGCGAACGGGUGAGUAACGCGUAAUCAACCUGCCCUUCAGAGGGGGACAACAGUUGGAAACGACUGCUAAUACCGCAUACUGAAGGAGGGGAUUGCGUCCGAUUAGCUAGUUGGAGGGGUAACGGCCCACCAAGGCGAUGAGCAGUAGCCGGUCUGCGAGGAGGAACGGCCCCAUUGGGACUUAUGCUCGGCCCAUACUCCUACGGGAGUCAGCAGUGGGAAAUCUUCCGCAAGGGACGAAAGUCUGACGGAGCAACGCCGCGUGAGUGAUGACGGCCUUCGGGUUGUAAAGCUCUGUUUAUCGGGACUCGGUACCGGAAUAGAAAGCCACGGCUAACUACGUGCCAGCAGCCGCGGUAAUAC